rfam:Dipodomys ordii contig_96649, whole genome shotgun sequence.
GAAGGUGGCUCAGUGGUAGAGUGCUAGCCUUGCAUGCAUGAGGCCCUGGGUUCAAUUCCUCAGCACCAUCU